rnacentral:lncRNA from 1 species
GAGUCAGGUUCUUGAAGAACCUGAUCGGUACAGGGCUAGUCGAGUUUUAGGGACUAGAACUCUUGAAACAAGGAGAAAAAGGAGCGCUGUCUUUGGUUCAAUUUUCAUGUGGAUCACCAUUGGAGGGUGGACACUCAGAUACCUUAUAGAAAUUAAGAUUUGCACUACAGAUAUGCUUCUUAUCCAAGUUUAAUUUAUUGUACUUUGAUUAUUAUAGUCAAAGAUUUUUGGGCAUUAGGGUUUCCGGUGCAUCGGAUGUUUCGAAUGAAAAAAUUUAAAUACCUAAUUCUUCUGCUGUGCCAUCAGAACCCAAC